rnacentral:rRNA from 1 species
UCUUUCGAAUUAAGAGUGAGUGGAAUAAAAAAUAAAGAGCAUGGCGGUCCUUAAUCUCGUUAGAGGGGCAUGUAAUCUUUAUUAGUAACGAAUUUGCACGAGCAUCUGUCCUGAUCUUGAAUGGAUCUCAUUUUGUACACCGCUGUCUGAAAGAAAUUAUAAAAGUAUUUUCUCCCUUCUUAGAGAGAAGAAAUAAGGCAAGUUAAGGUGCAGAUAACGGUCAGGGGGUUAUGUGCUCCAGUAAGAAUUUAUGGGCUUUCAGAUGGAAAUGUUGGAGAGAAAGAGAAUUUAAUAGUAAGAUUAGAAAUUCAACUAGUCUGAAGAGGGGCUAUGAAGGGUGU